CAGGCUUGAGGGCCUGCUUUUUUCUACCUUGACCCCAAAAACCAUCCAUUGAAAUCCACAGUAAACAGCAUUUGCCUACAGUUACAAAGUCCAGGAAUUUGAUUGCUGUCAGAAUAAAACUCACAGUCCCUCUGCAGCAAGGUCUGCUUUUGUUGACUUCAACCAUUUUAGCCAUAUUUAUUAAGGAUAGGUGCUUUGGAGAAUAGUUUGACUCCCUCUUCUUUGUGGCAACCCCUCACACAUGUGCAGUUGAGUGAAAAUGUCAGAAAAAAGGGAAAACAGCUGAGGAGCGGCAAUUCAAGUUGCCGCUCCAAAUCAGGUGGGCUUCGGAAGCUGGAAUAAAGAGAAAGUGGGCAUCCUACUUUCCCUUCGUCUCCUUGGCAAUCGUCCCACUCACCAAUUGAAGUUACAAAUGGAUAUUAUAGGCAAGUAGGCAGUUUCAAGAUGCCUAUAAAACUCUCUGGCUUAAUUUUACCUGCAUGUAUCAGUAGUAUUUACAUUCUCCAAAAUGAUCCACACUGCAAAAGGAGAUUGCAAAAAUUUGUACUAAGGUUUUGUGAUAUUUGGCACUAUGGUAUAUGUGAAAGCUAUAAUUACUUGAAGAACAAUCAUAAAACCAUUGCUCAGAUUUUUGAGGAAAAGAAGCUGAGAAUAGCCAGCCUGCACCUGAUGCUCUGAGACAGUCAAAAUAAAAAAAUAAAUUUUAUAAAUAAAUACAAUAAGAAAAUAAGAAAUCUAUAUGGUCCUAAUCUGAAUAUUAGGCCAAAUGAGGUAUACUAAAAUAUACUAGUAUACUAUACUAAAAUGCAUUUUUUUUGUAUUUAAGACUCUAUAUGGGAAGGUACUGUUGAUGAGAUUGUUCCAUUAAAAAUAAUCUUCUUUAUUAGUGAA